CCUACGGGAGGCAGCAGUGGGGAAUAUUGCACAAUGGGCGAAAGCCUGAUGCAGCGACGCCGCGUGGGGGAUGACGGUCUUCGGAUUGUAAACCCCUUUCAGUAGGGACGAAGCGCAAGUGACGGUACCUGCAGAAGAAGCACCGGCUAACUACGUGCCAGCAGCCGCGGUAAUACGUAGGGUGCGAGCGUUGUCCGGAAUUACUGGGCGUAAAGAGCUCGUAGGCGGUUUGUCACGUCGUCUGUGAAAUCCCUCGGCUUAACCGGGGGCGUGCAGGCGAUACGGGCAGACUUGAGUACUACAGGGGAGACUGGAAUUCCUGGUGUAGCGGUGAAAUGCGCAGAUAUCAGGAGGAACACCGGUGGCGAAGGCGGGUCUCUGGGUAGUAACUGACGCUGAGGAGCGAAAGCAUGGGUAGCGAACAGGAUUAGAUACCCUGGUAGUCCAUGCCGUAAACGGUGGGCGCUAGGUGUGGGGUCCUUCCACGGACUCCGUGCCGUAGCUAACGCAUUAAGCGCCCC
rnacentral:rRNA from 1 species